rnacentral:lncRNA from 1 species
UUAACCGUGUUCCAGGUGGCCUCACAAAGCAUCAGUUUGGUUCCUUCCAGCCCAUUCCGUACCUCUGUGAUGAAGAACAGCAUCGGUGAGCAUUCUGUGAUGCUCUGCAUCUGGAAAAGGGAGGGCUCCUGUCCACGAGCAUUGAGUGACAACCUCGAACCUGUUUCUUCCCAGCCCACCUGGGAAUCCAACCUGCACUCGGAUUUCAAGGGAGAGGGAAUGUGAAGUGUUUCCUCAUCCAACCUGCCGCUAUCUCUUUAGCAGCGAGCCUCUCUCUCCUCUACGCGAUUCAUUCACCCAACGCUGCUGAUUGGGACUUCACAGCACUUCAAAGGUUUCGAGAGGCUCUGAAGGAUCCUGUCACCUCUCCUGGGUCAAGGCUCCUCAGCUUUCCAGACAAACACUUUUCCCGGGAUGUUUUGCCAAAUGCCAUGGUGACUCACCCUUGUCACUCCUCUUCUCUGGGGUAGCAACACUGAGAGGGAAAAACAACUGCUGUUUACUGCCAUGCCCAAAAUGGGCCUUGACACUGCCAGCAGGAUUUGGAAAGACAGAAAUAGAGGAGUGAUUAUGGAGUGCAAUUAAGAGACAGCCCUCAGGAUCCUCCUCCAGAGGAGGAUUGG